UCCAAAUUUUUUUUCUUUUUUUUUUGGCUUUGUUUGGGCAAUUCGGGGCCGGCAGGCAUGGCCGGCGAUUCGUCGUCUCUGACGGCCGAUUCACUCGCGCAGAUGAAGUCUCUCCUCGCGCAAGCUGAGAAGGUCUCUGUAGAAAACAGGCAUCUCACCUUGAGCACAGAAAAAACCAGGCUCGAGCUAGCGGAGACCGAGAAGGACCUGAAGUGGUUGAGGUCUGCCUUCGAAUCCUCCGAGAAGGAGCUCGAGCAGCACCAGCAGAAGGCUGCCAAGCUCCGCAUGGACCUCGAGGACGAGAGGUACGCGGAGCAUCUGCACAUGCACGGCCC
rnacentral:lncRNA from 1 species